GAAGGUUUAAGAUGGGUGGUA
rnacentral:misc_RNA from 1 species